GUAUUCUGCUCUCAGAACAGGAUGCCUGUGGGAUUCCCGGAAGCAAGAUGUGACCACAGCAACACUAUCCCCACUUGUGGAACAAGGGCAUAACUGCCUCUGAUACCAGAGGCACACAUCCUGGAUGACAAAUAGCCUUUGGUAACCUUAUUCAGGGAUUUGUCUAACCCCCUUUUAAAGCUGUCCACAUUGGUCAGCAUUGCUACACCUGGGCACAGUGUGGGGAAGCACUUCCUUUUGUCUGCUCUGACUCUUCCAAUAUUCAGCUUCAUUGGCUAUCCCCAGGUUUUAAUAUUAUGGGGGGACAGACUCUCUCCACUUUUCCCACACCAAGCAUAAACAUCUCUAUCAUGUGUCUUUUUUUCUAGCACAGUUCAAAGUGUUAGUGCUUACCUUUAAAGCCCUAAAUGGUCUUGGUCCUGUAUACCUGAAGGAGCAUCUCCACCCCCAUCAUCCAGCCCGGACAUGGAGAUCCAGCUCUGAGGGCCUUCUGGUUGUUCCCUCUCUGUGAGAAGUGAAGUUAUAGGGAACCAGACAGAGGGCCUUCUCGGUAGUGGCGCCCACCCUGUGCAACGCCCUCCCAGCAUAUGCCAAGGAGAUAAACAGCUAUAUGACAUUCAGAAGACAUAUAAAGGCAGCCCUGUAUAGGGAAGUUUUUAAUGUUUGUUUGUGUUUUUAAUAUUUUGUUGGAAGCUGCCCGAAGUGGCUGGGGCAACCCAGUCAGAUGGGAGGCGUUGUUGUUGUUGUUGUUGUUGUUGUUGUUGUUGUUGCUGUUAAAGCUCCAAACCUUUUCUCAUAGGGAAGUUGCUUCCAGCCCUUUGAUAAUUUUUGUUGCCCUUUUAUCCAUCUUUCCCCCGUUUACAUUUUCGUAGUGAGGCAACUACAACCGUACACAGUAUUCCAAGCACAGGUGCACCAAAGAGUUGUGUAAUGGCAUUUUAAUAUUUCAAGUUUUAUUUCCAAUCCCUUUCCUAAUAAUAAUAAUAAUAAUAAUAAUAAUAAUAAUAAAUAAUAAUAAUAAUAAUAAUUUAUUUGUACCCUGCGCAUCUGGCUGGGUUUCCCCAGCCACUCUGGGUGGCUUCCAACAAAGAUUAACAAUACAUUAAAAUGUCACACAUUAAAAACUUCCCUGAUCUCUAGCAUGGGAUUUGCCUUUUUCCACAGCCACCAGACACUGAACAGACAUUGAAGAGCAGGGUGUGUGGGUGUGGGUGUGGGUGUGGGUGAGAGAGAGAGAGAGAGAGAGAGAGAGACCACUUCCAGAAGAUAUUCAGGCUCAGCUGUUGGCAAUUAUUUAUAGCAGAGCUGAGGCAUCUGCAACCACCCAGAUGUUGCUGCAUGCCAUCAGCCAAAAGCAUACACGACCAGCAGUUGGGGAUAAUGGAGAUUGCAGUCCUGUAACACCUGAAGAACCAUCAGAAUAAGCACAUUCCAAAACUGAUGGAAGGACACUGAGAACACCCCUCUACAUACCCUUAUGGGCCUGACCUUUGGUCACCAGACAUAUAUUUAUGCCAGGACAUUUUUUCUCAUGAAUUAUUUUUAUAAUUCAUAUAUUUAUAUACUGCUUUAUAAAACUUUCUUUUUAAAAAAAGAAAAGAAAGAAAAACAAGAUCAAGUUCUUUCCCUUUUUGUUUUUUUGCUAGAAGCAGAGAGAAGACUCCCAUGCUGUUCUGUGUAAUGACCAUGGAAUGAUCGGAAGUGUAUUAAUGGAGGGGCAAUCAUGUGGCA
rnacentral:lncRNA from 1 species